rnacentral:lncRNA from 1 species
GAAUUAAGAAGUCACCUGUCACUUAAUACUGGGAAGAAGAGCUGGUUUUCAAGGCUGGGCCUUGAGGAAAGGCCCACAGUGAAUAAUGAUUGAAAACAGUGAAAACCUGAAUUCACAGCACCUUCUUCUCACCUCUAGCAGAGGGUGCAGCCAUGCUGCAGGGCUGUAAAUGAGCAGCUGAUAGAAAAGGACAGCUGGGAAACUCAGAAAGGAUACAAUGAAGCAGUUAAAAAUCACCUUUCAGUCACCUCUUUAU